AGUGAACGCUGGCGGCAGGCCUAACACAUGCAAGUCGAGCGGCAGCGCGGGGGCAACCCUGGCGGCGAGCGGCGGACGGGUGAGGAAUGCAUCGGAAUCUACCUCGUUGUGGGGGAUAACCUCGGGAAACCGGGACUAAUACCGCAUACGACCUACGGGUGAAAGUCGGGGACCGCAAGGCCCGACGCGAUUGGAUGAGCCCAUGUUCGAUUAGCUAGUUGGCGGGGUAACGGCCCACCAAGGCGACGAUCGAUAGCUGGUCUGAGAGGAUGAUCAGCCACACUGGAACUGAGACACGGUCCAGACUCCUACGGGAGGCAGCAGUAGGGAAUAUUGGACAAUGGGCGCAAGCCUGAUCCAGCCAUGCCGCGUGAGUGAAGAAGGCCUGGUUGUAAGCACUUUNUUGGGUAGAACGGUCGGAGUUAAUACUUCGGCUGAAUGACGGUACCCAAAGAAUAAGACACCGGCUAACUUCGUGCCAGCAGCCGCGGU
rnacentral:rRNA from 1 species